rnacentral:sRNA from 1 species
AAUACUUUGAUUCAAUAUCUUCAGGUGCCUGACCUUUAACUGUCCUCAAGGCUACAACUGUACUGCUUACCCAGACCCUGAGUUCCCAUGCUGCAAUUUAGUUUUAGUAAACCUUCCUACAAAUACUGUUUUAAACCCUACUCAAGUGACCAUAGGAAAUGUAUGCCAUUAUAAUGGCCAAGAUUAUCAUAUUGGGGAAUCCUGGCAGCUAGGUUGU